GGCCUUGUGGCGCAAUGGUAGCGCGUCUGACUCCAAAUCAGAAGGUUGUGUGUUCAAAUCACAGCAAGGUCA
rnacentral:tRNA from 1 species